GAGCUUGCUCUUAUGAAGUUAGCGGCGGACGGGUGAGUAACACGUGGGUAACCUGCCCAUAAGACUGGGAUAACUCCGGGAAACCGGGGCUAAUACCGGAUAACAUUUUGAACCGCAUGGUUCGAAAUUGAAAGGCGGCUUCGGCUGUCACUUAUGGAUGGACCCGCGUCGCAUUAGCUAGUUGGUGAGGUAACGGCUCACCAAGGCAACGAUGCGUAGCCGACCUGAGAGGGUGAUCGGCCACACUGGGACUGAGACACGGCCCAGACUCCUACGGGAGGCAGCAGUAGGGAAUCUUCCGCAAUGGACGAAAGUCUGACGGAGCAACGCCGCGUGAGUGAUGAAGGCUUUCGGGUCGUAAAACUCUGUUGUUAGGGAAGAACAAGUGCUAGUUGAAUAAGCUGGC
rnacentral:rRNA from 1 species